rnacentral:rRNA from 1 species
GUCUGCGGCCACGCCACCCUGAGCACGCCCGAUCCCGUCUGAUCUCGGAAGCUAAGCAGGGUCGGGCCUGGUUAGUACUUGGAUGGGAGACCACCUAGGAAAACCAGGUGCUGUAGGCA